rnacentral:rRNA from 1 species
CGCGGCGCACGCGUGAGUNNUACGUCNGAGUAUGCNCNUUAAUGAGGGACANCAUCUCGANANNNAUGAUANUAUNGCNUACACCGUACCNNGNACANCGAGGGNUCCCUUGUGACCUCGCGNCAUCAGAUGAGCNCANNUNGGAUUAGCUAGUAGGUGGGGUAAAGGCUNACCNNGGCGACGAUCNNUAGCGUGGUCUGAGAGGAUGAUCCAGCCACACUGGGAACUGAGACACGGNUCCAGACUCCUACGGGAGGCAGCAGUGGGGAAUAUUGGCACAAUGGGGGGCNNCCUNAUCGCAGCCCAUGCCCGCGUGNNGAAGAAGGCCCUUAUGGNUGUAAANCACUUUUAGCGAGGAGGGAANUUGNUUGGUUAAUACCCAAGAUCAAUGGACGUUACUCGCAGAAUAAGCACCGGCUAACUCUGUGCCAGCAGCCGCGGUAAUACGGAGGGUGCGAGCGUUAAUCGGAUUUACUGGGCGUAAAGCGCGCGCAGGCGGUUUUUUAAGUCGGAUGUGAAAUCCCCGAGCUCAACUUGGGAAUUGCAUUCGAAACUGGCAAGCUAGAGUAUGGGAGAGGAGGGUAGAAUUCCAGGUGUAGCGGUGAAAUGCGUAGAGAUCUGGAGGAAUACCGAUGGCGAAGGCAGCCNCCUGGCCUAAUACUGACGCUCAGGUACGAAAGCAUGGGGAGCAAACAGGAUUAGAUACCCUGGUAGUCCAUGCUGUAAACGAUGUCUACUAGCCGGUGGGGUCUUUGAGACGUUAGUGCCGCAGCUAACGCGAUAAGUAGACCGCCUGGGGAGUACGGUCGCAAGGACUAAAAACUCAAAAUGANUUGACGGGGGGCCCGCACAAGCGGUGGAGCAUGUGGNUUUANUUCGAUGCAAACGCGAAANAAACCUUACCUGG